AUUGAACGCUGGCGGCAUGCUUUACACAUGCAAGUCGAACGGUAACAGGCCGCAAGGUGCUGACGAGUGGCGAACGGGUGAGUAAUGCAUCGGAACGUGCCCAGUCGUGGGGGAUAACGCAGCGAAAGCUGUGCUAAUACCGCAUACGAUCUAUGGAUGAAAGCGGGGGACCGUAAGGCCUCGCGCGAUUGGAGCGGCCGAUGUCAGAUUAGGUAGUUGGUGGGGUAAAGGCCUACCAAGCCGACGAUCUGUAGCUGGUCUGAGAGGACGACCAGCCACACUUGGACUGAGACACGGCCCAGACUCCGACGGGAGGCAGCAGUGGGGAAUUGUGGACAAUGGGCGCAAGCCUGAUCCAGCAAUGCCGCGUGCAGGAAGAAGGCCUUCGGGUUGUAAACUGCUUUUGUACGGAACGAAACGGUCUGGGUUAAUACCCUGGGCUAAUGACGGUACCGUAAGAAUAAGCACCGGCUAACUACGUGCCAGCAGCCGCGGUAA
rnacentral:rRNA from 1 species